rnacentral:rRNA from 1 species
AGUGAACGCUGGCGGUAGGCCUAACACAUGCAAGUCGAACGGCAGCACAGUAAGAGCUUGCUCUUACGGGUGGCGAGUGGCGGACGGGUGAGGAAUACAUCGGAAUCUACUUUUUCGUGGGGGAUAACGUAGGGAAACUUACGCUAAUACCGCAUACGACCUACGGGUGAAAGCAGGGGAUCUUCGGACCUUGCGCGAUUGAAUGAGCCGAUGUCGGAUUAGCUAGUUGGCGGGGUAAAGGCCCACCAAGGCGACGAUCCGUAGCUGGUCUGAGAGGAUGAUCAGCCACACUGGAACUGAGACACGGUCCAGACUCCUACGGGAGGCAGCAGUGGGGAAUAUUGGACAAUGGGCGCAAGCCUGAUCCAGCCAUGCCGCGUGGGUGAAGAAGGCCUUCGGGUUGUAAAGCCCUUUUGUUGGGAAAGAAAAGCAGCAGGUUAAUACCCCGCUGUUCUGACGGUACCCAAAGCAUAAGCACCGGCUAACUUCGUG